GUUGUGGUUCAGUGGUAACACACUUGCCUAGCACACAUGAGGCACUGGGUUCGGUUCUCAGCACCACA
rnacentral:tRNA from 1 species